AGAGUUUGAUCCUGGCUCAGGACGAACGCUGGCGGCGUGCCUAAAACAUGCAAGUCGAACGGAGCCUUCGGGCUCAGUGGCGAACGGCGGAGUAAUAUAUAAGCAACGUGCCCUAGAGACUGGGAUAUACAGUCGAAAGACUGGGUAAUACCGGAUACGGCGACGGAGAGGCAUCUCUUUGUCAUUAAAUGGUUUUUCGCUUUAGGAGCGGCUUAUAACACAUCAGGUAGUUGGUGGGGUAAAGGCCCACCAAGCCGACGACGUGUAGGGGGUCUGAGAGGAUGAUCCCCCCGAGUGGGACUGAGACACGGCCCACACACCUACGGGUGGCAGCAGUUGGGAAUCUUGCACAAUGGGGGAAACCCUGAUGCAGCGACGCCGCGUGGACGAUGAAGGAUUUCGGUCUGUAAAGUCCUUUUGCCGGGAAAGACUCAGGACGGUACCCGGCGAAUAAGCCCCGGCUAACUCCGUGCCAGCAGCCGCGGUAAUACGGAGGGGGCAAGCGUUGUCCGGAUUUACUGGGCGUAAAGAGCGCGUAGGCGGCGUGUUAAGUGUGAAGUGAAAUCUCCAGGGCUCAACCCGGAAACUGCUUCGCAGACUGGCAUGCUAGAGGAUGGUAGAGGUGAAUAGAAUUCCUGGUGUAGCGGUGACAUGCAUUGAUAUCAGGAGGAAUACCGAUGGCGAAGGCAGUUCACUGGGCCUUUCCUGACGCUGAGGCGCGAAAGCGUGGGUAGCAAACAGAAUUAGAUACUCUGGUAGUCCACGCCCUAAACGAUGGAUGCUAGGCGUAAGGGGUAUCG
rnacentral:rRNA from 1 species